AGACUUAAAUACUUAUAACUCUUAACUGACAUUUGUUUGUAUCUCUACUAUGAGCAGAGGAGUUAUGUGUGGGAAGGACAGUAUUUUAUUCAUUUUUAUAUGUCCCUUUCUUAAAAUGUCAUCUAGCCAUGUGGGAAAUAAUGGUCCUCAACAGAUGCUACCUGUUCAUUAUUGCUGGGGUAAUAACCAUCACUGAGCAGGGAAUCCUGCUUUCUUUGACAUCUGGCCAACUAUUCUCUUUUCCAGACCAUGUGGUUUUGAUGCCUGGUGCACAACUUAGGCCUUUCUACUUCUUAUCUUGUCGGCUACCUUUAAUUCACUAUGUUUAACUUCUGUUUCAUUCUCCAUGAAUGUGUGCAUUGCCCCCUUGUGUUUCCUUUUGUCAAGCUCCUCAAGAGCCCCUGAUCUGGCAUUUCUCCCCCUCCUGUGAGGCUUUGCUGCCCUCUAGGGGGCCUUGUAUCAUAUACAUCUCAGACCCAGGGGACCUGCACUUGUCAGCACAGUCCUGGUAGCCGUGUCACUCCCCAGCCAAAUGCUAGGAAUCUUUAACCUAUUCCUAUAUGCCCCAGUUUAGAAACCUGUGGUCGUAUAGCCUAUUCAGUUCAGGAACACAAACCAAGCAUAAGCAAGUAAGUGGGGUGCCAAGAACUGCCCAUUACAAAUAAAGGUUUGUUGGAGGCUUGCAUGGGGUUUCAGUGCUCUUGGUACCAACAGUGUCCCUGGCUAUGAGUGUCCCACCUGCAUCCUGGUAUCUUGAAUAUGAUAACAAAGUUUAUGCAAUGGAAUCCAUCAAUGAGAGUGCUAUAAAUUACCAAUGAAUGCUGAUUUCCAUCCUUGCUUGGUCCAGGGAGACAAAGAACUUCCUCAAAGAGAUGGAGCCUGCCAAGCACAUAUACCUGUAAUAUCUGUAGCUGAGGAGGCUGAGGUAGGAGGACUUCAAGUUCAAAGCCAUCCUCAGCAAUGGUGAAGCACUAAGCAACUCAGUGAGACCCUAUCUCUAAAUAAAAUACAAAAUAGGGCUGGGGAUGUGGCUCAGCGGUCAACUGCCCCUGAGUUCAAUCCCUGGUAGUCCCCAAAAAGAAAAGAGAUGGAACCUGUGAGCACUUUUCAUUAAUUCCCAGAAAAAAUUGGUUGCAUGCCUGAUGUUGACUCUUAACCAUUCUCCUUGGCAUCUCUGUAACUGUUGGCCACUCCCUUCAUUUUUGAAGUAUUCUUUUUUUCCUUCAAUAUUACCAUUGAUCAUCUGGGUCUCAGGUGACUCAGGUGAUACUAACCUAAAAAUUCUUUGUCCAGCUCUCAGAUUUUAUUUACCUCGUCUCUGGGCUCUUUCCACGAUUCUCCUAAAUUGUGCUUCAAAUCCCAAAGUCUAAUUUUUCAAAGGUUUCCUAGCAGCUUCUUGGAUUUUUCCACUUAGAUGACUCUCAGAAGUCUGGAAUUUAACAAUUCCCAAACCAAAUACAUCUUUCUUCAAACCUGUUCUCUUUUAUUCUUACCACCCCAUCUCAAUUUUUUUCUCAUUGAAUCAUAUCAUCAUCGAAUACAGAUGCUCCCCUAAUUCUACCCUUUUCAUUUUAGACUUCAGUCAGGACUUCUCCAAGCUCAUAGGACAAAUUAUUUCAAACUGAAUUCUUCAAAUUUAAUUAUUGAUUAUCCCCUUAAAAUAUCUCCUUCCCAAGACUGAAUUGCACUGGUUCAAAUACUAUUAAAU
rnacentral:lncRNA from 1 species